AUGAGAAGACUUCAGGAACAAGAGAUUAUUAUAUUAGGUAGGAUGAGAAGACUUCAGAAACAAGAGACAUUAUUAUAUUAGGUAGGAUGAGAAGACUUCAGAAACAAGAGACAUUAUUAUAUUAGGUAGGAUGAGAAGACUUCAGAAACAAGAGACAUUAUUAUAUUAGGUAGGAUGAGAAGACUUCAGAAACAAGAGACAUUAUUAUAUUAGGUAGGAUGAGAAGACUUCAGAAACAAGAGACAUUAUUAUAUUAGGUAGGAUGAGAAGACUUCAGAAACAAGAGACAUUAUUAUAUUAGGUAGGAUGAGAAGACUUCAGAAACACGAGACAUUAUUAUAUUAGGUAGGAUGAGAAGACUUCAGAAACAAGAGACAUUAUUAUAUUAGGUAGGAUGAGAAGACUUCAGGAACAAGAUACAUUAUUAUAUUAGGUAGGAUGAGAAGAAGAGACAUUAUAUUAGGUAGGAUGAGAAGAAGAGACAUUAUUAUAUUAGGUAGGAUGAGAAGACUUCAGAAACAAGAGACAUUAUUAUAUUAGGUAGGAUGAGAAGAAGAGACAUUAUUAUAUUAGGUAGGAUGAGAAGACUUCAGAAACAAGAGACAUUAUUAUAUUAGGUAGGAUGAGAA